AAGUAUAGUUUACCUUUUUUAUACUAACGCAUGCGCAAAACUCAGUGCAUUAUCAAUAUCUGAGGCUACAAUGGCGGAGAAAAGUCCUGGAGUAAUUUUAUAAAGACGCUGAGAAUCGGAUACCUGUCCAAGUUUCUCUCGAAUAUUACGCAUUGUCACCAAGUAACUGUCUUUACUAUAGCUGCUAGCUUCACAAGCUCAUGAUCUGGGAUACUGGCUGAGACCACACCCUGUGGAGCCAUGGGUGGCAUAAGGCCCAUUGGUGAUCCAAAUAUUGAUGCAUGUGAAAAGAGUGGCAUAUGGGCUGUAUGUGGAGAACUCAUUUCCAUUGUGCUUCCACCACGUAGAGACAUUGGAUCAACCAUUGGAUCAGUCAUAUCAGUCAUAUGAUCAGUCUCACUUGUUUCAGCCUUAUCAGAAAUGUUCUACUGCUGCCAUUUUGUGACUAUCUAUUUAAUAAACUUUCUCUUUUUUUUUUAAAUGGUUGCACAGUGUCAAUCAAGUUGUUAUAAGUAACAAAUUUAAACAAAAUGUGAUUGAUAAAAUAACAUAGAAAGUACGAUGUUAAUGAUAAAAUGUAAGAUAUCAUCAGUAUCACAUUCAUACAGAUUUUUGUACCCUCUUUAUAAACACUUUUUUUCUUAUGAUUCUUGCCUGUUACCAUUAUUUCUGUGUUGUAAAUGUUUUUUGUCUGCAAAUAAAGCUGUUUGCGACAGUACAAUUUAAUUUUACAUUUUAGAAUUAUGAUAUCAUGUAAUUUUUUCAAGUCACUGCUUUUCAUACAGAUACAAUUUUUUUCAUGUACUUUUGAAAUAA
rnacentral:lncRNA from 1 species